CGAACUUAGAGGUUCGGGAAGCCUUCACGGCUAUAGAAUGUUGACACAGAGAUGUUUGGCCCAUGGACUGAGGGUGCGGACUAGUGAUAACAAACGAUUCUUUAAAUAUGUGAUCCAGAAGGUGUCAGACUAAGAACUGCGCACAGAUUUGCCAGACGGUCAUACUUCGCUGCUGGGCCAAACUUCAUUUAGCAUAUUGACGGCUAUGACAAAUUGAAGCCUUAUGGACUUUGUAUACACGACUGCAUCUGUGGAUUCAGCAGAAAGAUGGUGUGGUUAAACGUUUAUAACACAAACAACGAUCCCAAAGUGAUUGGAGGUUACUUUCUGAAGGUCGUGGAGAUAAUUGGUGGAACUGCGUACAUGAUUAGAGGCGAUUUUGGUACAGAAAAUGUUUUGAUAAAGGACAUGCAAAACUGGUUCAAGAGACAUAGUGACCAUGACACAUCAUACCUUGAAGGUGCAAGUACACAAAACCAAAGAAUCGAAGGUUGGUGGAGUUAUUUGCGACGGCAGCAUAUCCAACACUGGAUGGAUAUUUUCAAGAAUCUUUAGGAAAACGGCGAGUUCUCUGCCAGUGACAUAGACAAGAACAUAAUAAGGUCCUGUUUUAUGGCAUUGAUACAGACAGAGCUGGAUUUGGCAGUGUCAAUGUGGAACAACCACUCUAUCAGACAGUCACGGAACUUGAAUGCACCAAACGGCCAGCCUAACAGAAUGUUCAAUUAUCCGGAACUAUGGGGUAGCUGCAACUUCAUAUGUGAUGUUCACCAGGAUGACAUAAAUGUUGCCCCGACACAAGUGACAUUUCGUACGCCAGUUUGCUGUGACCCAGAUCUGUAUGAUAUAUUAAUCGGUGUCAUGGCAGAUGACUCACUUUCCUACCCAAAUACAUCAGAUGAGGCCUUAGCUCUAUAUCGUCAUCUUCGCAGACGAGUGUUAAGAAUGUUCAAUAUGCAGUAACAAAUCCGCCGGAAGGCUGCUUACUUAUUUCACGUGCAGCUCACACAUCUAUGUGUGUGAAAUAGGAAACCAAUCGAGGAGGACAUGUGUUUCGGUGACUUGAACGAAAGAAAACAUAUCUUCAAAAAUAGAAUGCUUGAUUUGUUUCAAAUUAUUAUUAUUUAUCGUUAUUUGAGACAUAUCCGGGAAAAUUUUAUGAUCCGAUUAUCUUGUUUGUGAAAUUGUGUUCAACGUCCGCUCAUGGUAUUUACAUGUAUUAAUAUAUGACGUGAAAUCACAAGAUUCCUAUGCUAAUUCUAUGAUUGUCCUGCGGCUGUUACAAAAUGUAAGUUUUAACCAUGUCAUUAAAUGCAAUUCAGGAUAUAACGAUUCAACAUUAUCCUUUUACAUUUUGUAAUAAUUAAACACUGCUCAGACGCAUAUGACAAAGUAAAGAUUUAUACUUUUUAAGACAAUAAUUUUGCAUAACAGAUUAAAAGUACAUGGUUUCAAGUGUGACCAUGAUUAUCAGACUAAUUCUGCAUAUCGUUUCGCUGUGUUGAAUUAUCCUGACACUUGAAGGGGUUUAGGCUUAAGAGGCGGGCAGAGACACAGACGGACAACAAUAUGUCUUUCAACAUGAGGAGAUACAUAUACAUAUAGAAAUCAAACUUCACUGGUUAAAAGCAGAUCCAAAUGUAAGACACAUUGAAACUAUUUGUAUACACUUGGCAGGUAUAAUCAUCAUGGAUUGUAGAAUUUGUAGUUUUAUAUGACACAACUUUGGUCACUUACUUCAAAGUCAAAGUUAUUAGAACAUCAACAUUUCUGUACAGUCUU